rnacentral:rRNA from 1 species
ACGAACGCUGGCGGCGUGCUUAACACAUGCAAGUCGAACGGUGAAGCGCCUUCCGUUUUGGUGGGUGUGGAGGAGUGGCGAACGGGUGAGUAACACGUGAGUAACCUGCCCCCUUCUGCUGGAUAACCGCAUGAAAGUGUGGCUAAUACGGGAUAUUCUGGGUCUGUCGCAUGAUGGGUCUGGGAAAGAGAGUGUUUCGGUGGGGGAUGGGCUCGCGGCCUAUCAGCUGGUUGGUGGGGUGAGGGCCUACCAAGGCGGUGACGGUUAGCCGGCCUGAGAGGGUGGGCGGUCACACUGGGCCUGAGACACGGCCCAGACUCGUACGGGAGGCAGCAGUGGGGAAUAUUGCACAAUGGGCGCCAGCCUGAUGCAGCGACGCCGCGUGAGGGAUGGAGGCCUUCGGGUUGUGAACCUCUUUCGCCAGUGAAGCAGGCCUGCCUCGUUUGUGGGUGGGUUGACGGUAGCUGGAUAAGAAGCGCCGGCUAACUACGUG